rnacentral:rRNA from 1 species
UUGCCUACGGGUGGCUGCAGUGGGGAAUAUUGGACAAUGGGCGAAAGCCUGAUCCAGCAAUACCGAGUGGGUGAUGAAGGCCUUAGGGUUGUAAAGCCCUUUUCAGCAGGGAAGAUAAUGACGGUACCUGACCAAGAAAGCCCCGGCUAACUCCGUGCCAGCAGCCGCGGUAAGACGGAGGGGGCUAGCGUUGUUCGGAAUUACUGGGCGUAAAGAGUGCGUAGGCGGUUUAGUAAGUUGGAAGUGAAAUCCCGAGGCUUAACCUCGGAACUGCUUUCAAAACUACUAAUCUAGAGUGUAGUAGGGGAUGAUGGAAUUCCUAGUGUAGAGGUGAAAUUCUUAGAUAUUAGGAGGAACACCGGUGGCGAAGGCGGUCAUCUAGGCUACAACUGACGCUGAUGCACGAAAGCGUGGGGAGCAAACAGGAUUAGAUACCCUAGUAGUCG